GACAGAGGUGCCAAGCGUUAGGCGGAAUCACUGGGCUUAAAGCGUGUGUAGGCGGAUUUGUAAGUACCUUGGGAAAUCCCACGGCUCAACCGUGGAACUGCUCGGUAUACUGCUUUUCUUGAGCCACUUAGGGGCUGUCGGAACAAACGGUGGAGCGGUGAAAUGCGUAGAUAUCGGGAGGAACACCGGUGGCGAAGGCGGUUCUCUGGGCCUUACCUGACGCUGAGGAGCGAAAGCGUGGGGAGCGAACAGG
rnacentral:rRNA from 1 species